CCGAGCCCGUUAGAGAGUACGGGGCGUUCGCAGCCUCCCUUAGUCCGCCAACGUGCUGCAUAUCAGACCUUUCUCGAGCAUAGGCAUAUUGAGGUGAGGGAGUACUUGCAACGAGUGAAGGCAAAUGAUGAUUACAGCCGUCAAGUGAUGGCGGCUAUGUUGGCGUCUUGGACUAACCGC